rnacentral:lncRNA from 1 species
GCGAACCCGGGAUGGCUGAGCUCCUUCCCCUGUUUUGGAGUCUGUUGUAAAGCCACCCUGAGCCCAGGCACGCAUCUCUCCCGGGGCCCACCCACAAGGGAAGCCGCUGGUGGACCCACUUGCUGACUUAUGUGUGCUCAGGAAACCUUCAAAGUGGUUACCUACACCCUUUGUGGUCCACAGAGGCUGCCUUAUCUUCUGUUUCUGUCAUGUUUUGUCUUUUCUUAACCAUUGCCCUGAAUGUAGGAGCACCUGGCCUUUUUUUUUUUUUUUUUUUUCCCUGCCGCAUAAAUGAGGAGGCAAUAUCCAUUUGGUUCUUAAUUGCGUCUGGCGUGCAUAUAUACCUGUGGUUCCUACCUCAGAGCCAUUCUGCUGGAAAUUUCUCCUGUAUAAUUUAGCAGUGGAGUCUAAUUGAUUUCAACCUGGUGCCUGCUGUUUGGUGCCUUAUUAAAAACGUCUUGGUUACAAUAAUCU